CAAUAGCGUAUAUUUAAGUUGUUGCAGUUAAAAAGCUCGUAGUUGGAUUUCGGAUGGGACUUGCCGGUCCGUCGUUUCGAUGUGCACUGGCCAGUCCUAUCUUGUUGUCGGGGACUAGCUCCUGGGCUUCACUGUCCGGGACUAGGAGCUGACGAGGUUACUUUGAGGAAAUUAGAGUGUUCAAAGCAAGCCUACGCUCUGAAUACAUUAGCAUGGAAUAACACGAUAGGACUCUGGCUUAUCUUGUUGGUCUGUGAGACCAGAGUAAUGAUUAAGAGGGACAGUCGGGGGCAUUCGUAUUUCAUUGUCAGAGGUGAAAUUCUUGGAUUUAUGAAAGACGAACUUCUGCGAAAGCAUUUGUCAAGGAUGUUUUCAUUAA
rnacentral:rRNA from 1 species